UGGGGAAUAUUGGGCAAUGGGCACAAGCCUGACCCAGCCACGCCGCGUGAGUGAUGAAGGCCUUCGGGUCGUAAAGCUCUGUGGGGAGGGACGAAACUACGCUGGCUAAUAUCCAGCGGCCUGACGGUACCUCCUUAGCAAGCACCGGCUAACUCCGUGCCAGCAGCCGCGGUAAUACGGAGGGUGCAAACGUUGCUCGGAAUUAUUGGGCGUAAAGCGCACGUAGGCGGUCCAGCAAGUCGGGUGUGAAAGCCCUCGGCUUAACCGAGGAAGUGCAUUCGAAACUACUGGACUUGAAUACUGGAGAGGAUCGCGGAAUUCCCGGUGUAGAGGUGAAAUUCGUAGAUAUCGGGAGGAACACCAGUGGCGAAGGCGGCGAUCUGGACAGAUAUUGACGCUGAUGUGCGAAAGCGUGGGGAGCAAACAG
rnacentral:rRNA from 1 species